AAGGGUAUAGCUCAGUGGUAGAGCUCACACUUCGCAUGCACGAGAUCCUGGGUUCAAUCCCCUGUACCUCCA
rnacentral:tRNA from 1 species